rnacentral:rRNA from 1 species
AGCAGCCGCGGUAAUUCCAGCUCCAAUAGCGUAUAUUAAAGUUGUUGCAGUUAAAAAGCUCGUAGUUGAAUUUCGGGGUCAGUAGGUUGGUCGUGCCACAGGUACGUACUGGUCUCACUGAUUCCUCCUUCCUGAUGAACUGUAAUGCCAUUAAUUUGGUGUUGCGGGGAAACUGGACUGUUACUUUGAAAAAAUUAGAGUGUUUAAAGCAGGCUAACGCUUGAAUACAUUAGCAUGGAAUAAUGAAAUAGGACGUUCGAUCCUAUUUUGUUGGUUUCUAGGAUUGACGUAAUGAUUAAUAGGGAUAGUUGGGGGCAUUAGUAUUCAAUUGUCAGAGGUGAAAUUCUUGGAUUUAUUGAAGACUAACUACUGCGAAAGCAUUUGCCAAGGAUGUUUUCAUUAAUCAAGAACGAAAGUUAGGGGAUCGAAGACGAUCAGAUACCGUCGUAGUCUUAACCAUAAACUAUGCCGACUAGGAAUCGGAUGAUGUUAAUUUUUUAAUGACUCAUUCGGCGCCUUACG